rnacentral:rRNA from 1 species
CCUACGGGAGGCAGCAGUGGGGAAUAUUGCACAAUGGGGGAAACCCUGAUGCCGCGACGCCGCGUGAGUGAAGAAGGAUUUCGGUAUGUAAAGCUCUAUCAGCAGGGACGAAAAUGACGAUACCUGAUUAAGAAGCCCCGGCUAACUACGUGCCGGCAGCCGCGGUAAUACGUAGGGGGCAGGCGUUAUCCGGAUUUACUGGGUGUAAAGGGAGCGUAGACGGCAGCACAACUCGGGAGUGAACGGCAGGGGCUCAACCCCGGAACUGCUUUGGAAACUGUGCAGCUAGAGUGCAGGAGAGGUAAGUGGAAUUCCUAGUGUAGCGGUGAAAUGCGUAGAUAUUCGGAGGAACACCAGUGGCGAAGGCGGCUUACUGGACUGUAACUGACGUUGAGGCUCGAAAGCGUGGGGAGCAAACAGGAUUAGAUACCCCUGUAGUC